rnacentral:miRNA from 1 species
CACUGUUUCACCACUGGCUCUU